ensembl:rRNA 5S_rRNA 5S ribosomal RNA
GUCAGCAGCCAUAUCACCCUGCAGCCCAAGACUGGUUGCCCACUGAAGCUAAGCAGGGUUGAGCCUGGUCAGUACCUGGAUGGGAGACCUCCUGGGAAAACUAGGUUGCUGCUGGAA